rnacentral:rRNA from 1 species
CCCUUAGAUGUUCUGGGCCGCACGCGCGCUACACUGACGAAUGCAACGAGCUUAUAACCUUGGCCGAAAGGUCUGGGUAAUCUCCAAAUUUCGUCGUGAUGGGGAUAGAUUAUUGCAAUUAUUAAUCUUCAACGAGGAAUGCCUAGUAAGCGCAAGUCAUCAGCUUGCGUUGAUUACGUCCCUGCCCUUUGUACACACCGCCCGACGCUCCUACCGAUUGAAUGGUCCGGUGAAGCGUUCGGACCGUGGCCUUUGGACGGUUCGCCGUCUGUUGGCUGCGGGAAGUUCGUUAAACCUUAUCAUUUAGAGGAAGGAGAAGUCGUANCA